UUUUGUGGGAGGUGGAGCCCCGGCGGGCUGGCGUCCCGACGAGCGAGGACCCUGGUAGCUGAGACACGGGCCGCCCCCUCACCCUGUUGUACCCAGAGAAGAUCCUGGCGGUGGGGGUGGUUAAACCGGCGGUGGUCGGGGUUUGUGAGUGUUUAACUGACGCCCCGCCCCGGCACACCACAACAAGAAAAGAAAUUGCCUCCAUCAGUAAGUGGCAGAAGCAGGAUUCAAACCCAGGCCGCUGUCAAGAUGGAGUUUCCAGCCCAGUGAAUCUGAAGACCAGACUGUGACCCCAUAAAGGCUCCCAAGUGCUGGGAUCACAGCUAUGCACCACCACACCUGGCCAGAAGGGCAGUUUGAUGCCAGAGCUUGGAUUUUGCUCUUCUACAGCCUGGUAGAAAGAGGAAUCCUUUUCUCCUUCUCUGGCUGAGGUUCUUUUCGCCAUCUGGACAGCCUGUGGUUUUUAAGGACAAGCUCUGGAAUUCUAUAAGUCAGCACCAAGAGGAAAGAGAAGCCUGAAAAGCUCUGAACUUACAGUAUGG
rnacentral:lncRNA from 1 species